rnacentral:rRNA from 1 species
AGAGAGAGACAUGCGCGCAUAUCAAUAAGCGGAGGAAAAGAAACUAACAAGGAUUCCCCUAGUAACGGCGAGUGAAGCGGGAAGAGCUCAAAUUUGAAAUCUUAAAGGGUUUCCCUUUACGAAUUGUAGUUUAAAGAAGUGUUUUCUGUUGAGGUUUUGGUAAAAGUUCUUUGGAAUAGGACAUCAUAGAGGGUGAGAAUCCCGUAUUUGACCUUUACUUUCAACUUUGUGAUACACUUUCAAAGAGUCGGAUUGUUUGGGAAUGCAGUCCAAAAUGGGUGGUAAAUUUCAUCUAAAGCUAAAUAUUGGCGAGAGACCGAUAGCGAACAAGUACCGUGAGGGAAAGAUGAAAAGAACUUUGAAAAGAGAGUUAAACAGUACGUGAAAUUGUCAAAAGGGAAGCGUUUGACACCAGUGUUGUUUUUCUGAAAAUCAAUUAAAGAACUGUUUAUGCUAAGCUGUUUAGACUUUAUCAGCUAUCUGUUUAGUUUUGAGCUUUUCUUUAAUGCACUUUUCAGUUAACAAGUCAACAUCAAUUUCUUUUGCUGUAAAAAAGCUUGAGGAAGGUGGCUUGAGAUUCGUCUUAAGUGUUUAUAGCCUCUUGCCUAUGCAGUCGGAGAGAUUGAGGUCUGCAGCGUAGAUCCUUCGGGGCUAAAUGCAUUUGUGCUAAGUUAUAGCAUUUUAUAGACAACUUGUUGACUAUGAUUUGUCUUGUAGCUUACUCGCUUAUGUUAUUUUACCUACGCUUAGGAUGUUGACGCAUGAGAUAUACG